UACGGAGGAUGCGAGCGUUAUCCGGAUUUAUUGGGUUUAAAGGGUGCGUAGGCGGAACAUUAAGUCAGCGGUAAAAUCGAGGGGCUCAACCCCUUUAAGCCGUUGAAACUGGUGAUCUUGAGUGGGCGAGAAGUAUGCGGAAUUCAUGGUGUAGCGGUGAAAUGCUUAGAUAUCAUGAAGAACUCCGAUCGCGAAGGCAAGUGUCCGGGGUGCAACUGACGCUGAGGCUCGAAAGUGCGGGUAUCAAACAGG
rnacentral:rRNA from 1 species